rnacentral:rRNA from 1 species
GACGAACGCUGGCGGCGUGCUUAACACAUGCAAGUCGAACGGAAAGGCCCUGCUUUUGUGGGGUGCUCGAGUGGCGAACGGGUGAGUAACACGUGAGUAACCUGCCCUUGACUUUGGGAUAACUUCAGGAAACUGGGGCUAAUACCUGAUAGGAGCUCCUGCUGCAUGGUGGGGGUUGGAAAGUUUCGGCGGUUGGGGAUGGACUCGCGGCUUAUCAGCUUGUUGGUGGGGUAGUGGCUUACCAAGGCUUUGACGGGUAGCCGGCCUGAGAGGGUGACCGGCCACAUUGGGACUGAGAUACGGCCCAGACUCCUACGGGAGGCAGCAGUGGGGAAUAUUGAACAAUGGGCGGAAGCAUGAUGCAGCAAAGCCGAGUGCGGGAUGACGGCCUUCGGGUUGUAAACAGAUUUCGCCUGUGACGAAGCGUGAGUGAAGGUAAUGGGUAAAGAAGCACCGGCUAACUACGUG